GUAUGUUCACAAGUUAGCAAAUUCCCGAGUUACCGUAAACUUAUUCGUAACAAUAUAAACAUGAGUUUAAUAAUUCUAAGUUAAGAAAUGUAAUUAAUCUAACACAAUUACGUCAUCUUGAUUAAAAUCAUAUUUUGAAAUCGUGCAUUUGAGAUUUAUUUCUUUAGUUCAUUUAGUUUAAAAUCUUAGUUUUGAAUCACC
rnacentral:lncRNA from 1 species